AGUUCUUUGGAACAAGACGUCAUAGAGGGUGAGAAUCCCGUAUGUGACUGGUUGCCUGUGCCCGUGUGAAGCUCCUUCGACGAGUCGAGUUGUUUGGGAAUGCAGCUCAAAAUGGGUGGUAAAUUUCAUCUAAAGCUAAAUAUUGGCCAGAGACCGAUAGCGCACAAGUAGAGUGAUCGAAAGAUGAAAAGCACUUUGGAAAGAGAGUUAAACAGUACGUGAAAUUGUUGAAAGGGAAGCGCUUGCAAUCAGACUUGCACGGCGUCGAUCAGCCUGGGUUCUCCCUGGUGCACUCGGCGCCGUUCAGGCCAGCAUCAGUUUUGACGGUGGGAUAAAGGCCUAGGGAACGUGGGUCGCCUCGGCGACCGUUAUAGCCCUAGGUGCCAUGCCGCCUGUUGGGA
rnacentral:rRNA from 1 species